CUCAUUUUGAACAUGUGUUGCCCCAGAUACCAACCUCAAUUGUACGAACUCUGCACAUGUGGGAUUCAUUGCACUAACCUCUGUAUUUUCCCAGUAGGCCUUUAAGAAUCAGUUUUUCAUUAGGGCUUUACUUCCCUAUUUCUGACAGACCAGUAAAUCGUACUAUGAACAAAAGUUAGCAGAAUGUGCCGAGAGGUAUUUUUGGUAAGCAGUGGAAC